ACUCCAGUUCUUGGCAGGCCCCGGCCGCUCCGUGCCCGGGUCUGUGAUGUCCGGAGGUAGAGCAGCAACUCUUUCACGGGCACCC
rfam:Buceros rhinoceros silvestris contig57695, whole genome shotgun sequence.